UGGUGCACAACAUGGGGCCCAGGUACGAGGACAUCAGUGAAGAAUGUCGCUAAGGAGAGCCGGACAUAUCAAAAAGAAAAGAAAUAGAGACAGGAGCCUGCCGCAGCAACAAAGUCCUCGGUAAGUGAGCGAAGAUAUGGGACAAGAAAUGAGUCAACAUGAAUUGUUUGUUGAAGGCCUCAAGAAGGCACUUAAGGCCCAAGGGAUUAGGCUUAAAACACAGGACUUGUUAAAGUUUUUUGUCUCUAUUAAGGAAGUUUGCCCCU
rfam:Mesocricetus auratus contig127124, whole genome shotgun sequence.